rnacentral:rRNA from 1 species
CAUAAUCUCUGAGGAGAAAAGCAGGGGAUCGUAAGACCUUGCACUUUUGGAGCGGCCGAUGUCUGAUUAGCUAGUUGGUGGGGUAAUGGCCUACCAAGGCGACGAUCAGUAGUUGGUCUGAGAGGACGACCAGCCACACUGGGACUGAGACACGGCCCAGACUCCUACGGGAGGCAGCAGUGGGGAAUUUUGGACAAUGGGCGCAAGCCUGAUCCAGCCAUGCCGCGUGAGUGAAGAAGGCCUUCGGGUUGUAAAGCUCUUUCAGCCGGGAAGAAAAGGUUGCGACUAAUAAUCGUAAUUCAU